UACGAAGGGGGCUAGCGUUGUUCGGAAUCACUGGGCGUAAAGCGCACGUAGGCGGCUCUUUAAGUCGGAGGUGAAAUCCUGGAGCUCAACUCCAGAACUGCCUUCGAUACUGAAGAGCUCGAGUCCGGGAGAGGUGAGUGGAACUGCGAGUGUAGAGGUGAAAUUCGUAGAUAUUCGCAAGAACACCAGUGGCGAAGGCGGCUCACUGGCCCGGUACUGACGCUGAGGUGCGAAAGCGUGGGGAGCAAACAGG
rnacentral:rRNA from 1 species